GCGCGCUUAUGUCAGUGGUAGACGAUUUGACUUCGGUUCAAAAGGUCACAGGUUCGAACCCUGUAGCGCGCU
rfam:Tilletia walkeri strain DAOM 236422 scaffold_21, whole genome shotgun sequence.